rnacentral:rRNA from 1 species
GACGAACGCUGGCGGCGUGCCUAAUACAUGCAAGUAGAACGCUGAAGAGAGGAGCUUGCUCUUCUUGGAUGAGUUGCGAACGGGUGAGUAACGCGUAGGUAACCUGCCUUGUAGCGGGGGAUAACUAUUGGAAACGAUAGCUAAUACCGCAUAACAAUGGAUGACACAUGUCAUUUAUUUGAAAGGGGCAAUUGCUCCACUACAAGAUGGACCUGCGUUGUAUUAGCUAGUAGGUGAGGUAACGGCUCACCUAGGCGACGAUACAUAGCCGACCUGAGAGGGUGAUCGGCCACACUGGGACUGAGACACGGCCCAGACUCCUACGGGAGGCAGCAGUAGGGAAUCUUCGGCAAUGGGGGCAACCCUGACCGAGCAACGCCGCGUGAGUGAAGAAGGUUUUCAGAUCGUAAAGCUCUGUUGUAAGUCAAGAACGAGUGUGAGAGUGGAAAGUUCACACUGUGACGGUAGCUUACCAGAAAGGGACGGCUAACUACGUGCCAGCAGCCGCGGUAAUACGUAGGUCCCGAGCGUUGUCCGGAUUUAUUGGGCGUAAAGCGAGCGCAGGCGGUUUGAUAAGUCUGAAGUUAAAGGCUGUGGCUCAACCAUAGUUCGCUUUGGAAACUGUCAAACUUGAGUGCAGAAGGGGAGAGUGGAAUUCCAUGUGUAGCGGUGAAAUGCGUAGAUAUAUGGAGGAACACCGGUGGCGAAAGCGGCUCUCUGGUCUGUAACUGACGCUGAGGCUCGAAAGCGUGGGGAGCGAACAGGAUUAGAUACCCUGGUAGUCCACGCCGUAAACGAUGAGUGCUAGGUGUUGGAUCCUUUCCGGGAUUCAGUGCCGCAGCUAACGCAUUAAGCACUCCGCCUGGGGAGUACGACCGCAAGGUUGAAACUCAAAGGAAUUGACGGGGGCCCGCACAAGCGGUGGGGCAUGUGGUUUAAUUCGAAGCAACGCGAAGAACCUUACCAGGUCUUGACAUCCCGAUGCUAUUUCUAGAGAUAGAAAGUUACUUCGGUACAUCGGUGACAGGUGGUGCAUGGUUGUCGUCAGCUCGUGUCGUGAGAUGUUGGGUUAAGUCCCGCAACGAGCGCAACCCCUAUUGUUAGUUGCCAUCAUUCAGUUGGGCACUCUAGCGAGACUGCCGGUAAUAAACCGGAGGAAGGUGGGGAUGACGUCAAAUCAUCAUGCCCCUUAUGACCUGGGCUACACACGUGCUACAAUGGUUGGUACAACGAGUUGCGAGUCGGUGACGGCAAGCUAAUCUCUUAAAGCCAAUCUCAGUUCGGAUUGUAGGCUGCAACUCGCCUACAUGAAGUCGGAAUCGCUAGUAAUCGCGGAUCAGCACGCCGCGGUGAAUACGUUCCCGGGCCUUGUACACACCGCCCGUCA